rnacentral:rRNA from 1 species
GAUGAACGCUGGCGGCGUGCCUAAUACAUGCAUGUCGAGCGAAUGGAUUAAGAGCUUGCUCUUAUGAAGUUAGCGGCGGACGGGUGAGUAACACGUGGGUAACCUGCCCAUAACACUGGGAUAACUCCGGGAAACCGGGGCUAAUACCGGAUAACAUUUUGAACCGCAUGGUUCGAAAUUGAAAGGCGGCUUCGGCUGUCACUUAUGGAUGGACCCGCGUCGCAUUAGCUAGUUGGUGAGGUAACGGCUCACCAAGGCAACGAUGCGUAGCCGACCUGAGAGGGUGAUCGGCCACACUGGGACUGAGACACGGCCCAGACCCCUACGGGAGGCAGCAGUAGGGAAUCUUCCGCAAUGGACGAAAGUCUGACGGAGCAACGCCGCGUGAGUGAUGAAGGCUUUCGGGUCGUAAAACUCUGUUGUUAGGGAAGAACAAGUGCUAGUUGAAUAAGCUGGCACCUUGACGGUACCUAACCAGAAAGCCACGGCUAACUACGUGCCAGCCGCCGCGGUAA